CAGUAGCCGCGGGAAUACGAAGGGUGCGAGCGUUAAUCGGAUUUACUGGGCGUAAAGCGUGCGUAGGCGGCUUUUUAAGUCGGAUGUGAAAUCCCUGAGCUUAACUUAGGAAUUGCAUUCGAUACUGGGAAGCUAGAGUAUGGGAGAGGAUGGUAGAAUUCCAGGUGUAGCGGUGAAAUGCGUAGAGAUCUGGAGGAAUACCGAUGGCGAAGGCAGCCAUCUGGCCUAAUACUGACGCUGAGGUACGAAAGCAUGGGGAGCAAACAGGAUUAGAUACCCGCGUAGUCCCUGUCUCUUAUAC
rnacentral:rRNA from 1 species